rnacentral:rRNA from 1 species
UAUCGGUGAUGGAUGGGGAUGCGUCUGAUUAGCUUGUUGGCGGGGUAACGGCCCACCAAGGCGACGAUCAGUAGGGGUUCUGAGAGGAAGGUCCCCCACAUUGGAACUGAGACACGGUCCAAACUCCUACGGGAGGCAGCAGUGAGGAAUAUUGGUCAAUGGACGAGAGUCUGAACCAGCCCAAGUAGCGUGCAGGAUGACGGCCCUAUGGGUUGUAAACUGCUUUUAUAAGGGAAUAAAGUGAGCCUCGUGAGGCUUUUUGCAUGUACCUUAUGAAUAAGGACCGGCUAAUUCCGUGCCAGCAGCCGCGGUAAUACGGAAGGUCCGGGCGUUAUCCGGAUUUAUUGGGUUUAAAGGGAGCGUAGGCCGGAGAUUAAGCGUGUUGUGAAAUGUAGACGCUCAACGUCUGCACUGCAGCGCGAACUGGUUUCCUUGAGUACGCACAAAGUGGGCGGAAUUCGUGGUGUAGCGGUGAAAUGCUUAGAUAUCACGAAGAACUCCGAUUGCGAAGGCAGCUCACUGGAGCGCAACUGACGCUGAAGCUCGAAAGUGCGGGUAUCGAACAGGAUUAGAUACCCUGGUAGUCCGCACGGUAAACGAUGGAUGCCCGCUGUUGGUCUGAAUAGGUCAGCGGCCAAGCGAAAGCAUUAAGCAUCCCACCUGGGGAGUAC